AUUACCCGAGGAGCAGAAUGCUCGUGAUUCUCGAAGUUCGUACGGAAAGCCUCAGAUUCCAGGUAGGGGACCCAGAACUCCUUUGAUUAGUGAUUUUAUUGUUUUAUAAAAUGUUAAAUGCAUAUAUGAGAUUGCAUGAUUGGUUAUCAAUAAAAAUGGUAACUGGUGUUAUGAGAUUUUGAUGGCUUGAGAAUGAGUGGGGCAUAGUGACUUCCUUGGGCUUCGAUACCCUAAACCUCCGGAGGGGCUGUAUGGACUGAAGAGUGUCUGACAUCUUUUGAGAUGUGGCACUGCUUCUAGGCGAUAUGGCGUAAGUGGACACUCUCGUUACACUUACAUGUUCUACACAUAUAUAGUGAGGUAAGUUGGGUAGUGGGUCUAGAAGAGGACCGGCCAUCAGGUACAGUUUUAUGGCGCUGCAUUUAUUUAAUCAUAGAAAUGUUUUUGAAAGUUUGUCGUUCAUUAAAUAUUUGGUUUUAAUCUUAUUUCUAUACUGGCCCUUAUGAAACUAUUUCUUUAAUCGUUUUCAAGAAAUCUUUGAGCAGCGAGGACGAAAGCUCACCCCUACAACAGUUUGUGGAUGCAUGUACUAUGCAAUGGGACGGGAUAAUGGCAAGGAGUUGGGUGUGCAUAUUUAUGAUUGGUAACUUGGUUUCUAUGUUGUCCCCUUUAUUUUUAUAUUUGAGUUUCAUGUACCAAAUUUUAUCUUGUUGGUCUUGUUCUGUUUUGCUUCGUAAUCUUAUUUCUUUAAGUUUAUUUAUUAUUGGUCAUUUCGUAAAUCAAAUUUUAGGUGAAGGGAAAAGCCCAAUCCUAUUAUGAGUUUGUUUUAUGAUAAUCUAAUUGAUAAUUUGUAUUCCUUUGAGUUCAUGAUUUCAUAAUCAUUCCUUGUAUCAGGUUUUUUUGGUGAAUUAAAGUACUUUGAGAAAAAUUAAGUUUUUAUACCUCAAAAUGUUUAUACGCUUCUGUUGUGUUUUUCUUAAAUGUUUUCUUACAUUAAUUGCCUUGCAUUUCUCCUUUUGAGAUUUGCGACACUGUGAUGUACCUAAACUGAGGCGUGCCUAAAUUGAGGAGGUGCAGUUUGGGGCGUUACAUGAACACACUUCCUAAAGCUAUAUAGUGGUUCCCCCUCGGGUUGUUGUGUAACAAAAGUUUUUCACUACACCAUUUCUUCAAUAUAUAUAUAUAUAUAUAUAUAUAU
rnacentral:lncRNA from 1 species